GAUGUGUGCCAGGAGCUCCUGCUGAGGAUGGCCUCCAGUAUGUGCCAGAGGAGAGCAGAGAUGUGGACCACAGCAGCCCAUGGAGCCCCAGGGAGUGGCCAGCGCUAGGGAACUAAGCGAUCCCAAUGCCUCCUGGAUUACAAUGCCUGAGACUGUGGUAGGAAGUGAUGGUGGUGUCAGCAUGGUAUCUCCCCCUAAGAGCCCCUGAGGUCUUCCUCCUAGCAAGUGAUUAAGGUUUUGGAGCUUGAUAGGAGAAUCCAGUCAUGUCCAGACUCAACUAUAGCUAUGCCUUGCAUGCCUGCUCUUAGUAAGGCCUGAUCCUACAACCCUAUGCACAUUUCUAGUCUGGUUGAAGUCAGCUGUGCUACUUGAAUUCCUAAGGAUCUUCAGAUCUGAGCCCUCCACUUGUAGGGAUUAUAAAAG